UACGUAGGGUGCGAGCGUUGUCCGGAAUUAUUGGGCGUAAAGGGCUCGUAGGCGGUUUGUCGCGUCGGGAGUGAAAACUCAGGGCUUAACCCUGAGCCUGCUUCCGAUACGGGUGGACUAGAGGUAUGCAGGGGAGAACGGAAUUCCUGGUGUAGCGGUGAAAUGCGCAGAUAUCAGGAGGAACACCGGUGGCGAAGGCGGUUCUCUGGGCAUUACCUGACGCUGAGGAGCGAAAGCGUGGGGAGCAAACAGG
rnacentral:rRNA from 1 species